AACAGGCCCAAAACACUUAAGAAGGAGGGGAGCAACUGACCCGCUCUGCCUGGCUAGCUUAACGUUAGCUUAAUCUACUAAACCGGUUUCUUUAGCUCCCCUUUUGAUCCUGCCUAGACAGUCACUACUCCUGGCCAUGCUGUGCAGAUAUCAUGUGACGUUCUGAAAGUGAAACAUGAGACAAACGCACAUUUCUGACUCACCCGUCUUUACGCAAAGCCGUGUAGAAGUUGGCAGAGCUGAGGUCUGCUGCUGCCAGGAGGCGAGAGGACUCGAAAGGACGGAUGGCUGCGUGCAAGAAGUAGGCAGGACCAGCUGUGGCCUCCGGAAGUGAAAAUGACUUUUUUCAGAGUAAAAGUUGGGAUUGGAUUGUCGAUCUCCUUUGCUUUGUGGACAGGAUUAAUUUUGGUACUGCUGAUUCAGCCUGAGGUCAGCCCAGAUGAUGAUGAUGAUGAUGAUGAUGAUGAUGACGACGAUGAAACCUUCACCACUGUAGAUGCCUUGUUGGACCUAAUAAGGAGCGAGGAACAGCUGAGCCGGCAUCAUUUUUAGGAGGUGUGGCUGAAGGCUCUUCAUCUCUGGGCUCUUACUGAGCCUCACCAUCAGCUGGACUGGCUGCAAUUUGGCUAACAGCUGGUUCCUCUAAAGCUGAGAAAAAUAUAUCGUCAGCUUCUGCUCCAU